GUGGGUAAAGCUCGGUGGCAGAGCGUGUGUUUAGCAUGCACGAGGUCCUGGGUUCAGUCCCCAGUACCUUCA
rnacentral:tRNA from 1 species